GGUUAUGAUGCUAUUGCACCACAUGUGUUUUUCUUUGAAACAAACUUGCUUUGGCGGUGGGCCCAGCCUGCCGCCAGAGGUCUAAACUUACAACCAAUUUUUUAUCAACUUGUCACACCAGAUUAUUACUUAAUAGUCAAAACUUUCAACAACGGAUCUCUUGGUUCUCGCAUCGAUGAAGAACGCAGCGAAAUGCGAUACGUAAUAUGAAUUGCAGAUAUUCGUGAAUCAUCGAAUCUUUGAACGCACAUUGCGCCCUCUGGUAUUCCGGAGGGCAUGCCUGUUUGAGCGUCGUUUCUCCCUCAAACCGCUGGGUUUGGUGUUGAGCAAUACGACUUGGGUUUGCUUGAAAGACGGUAGUGGUAAGGCGGGAUCGCUUUGACAAUGGCUUAGGUCUAACCAAAAACAUUGCUUGCGGCGGUAACGUCCACCACGUAUAUCUUCAAACUUUGACCUCAAAUCAGGUAGGACUACCCGCUGAACUUAAGCAUAUCAAAAGCGGGGAGGAA
rnacentral:rRNA from 1 species